AUUGAAACCACAAAAAAAUUAGGAUUAAUUUUAUACAGGUCUCUAUAAAUAUAAUAAAUGGCAAAUAUAUUUUAUGAAGUUCAACUUUCAUAUGUUAUCCCUGUAAAAGUUCUGAUGUUAUCAAAUAUGUCCCCACCGUUAAAAUCCGUUAGAAAAAUUUAAUUAACCAUAGAUUAAAUACUUAAAACCUUGGUUAGCUUUUGAUAUUGUUAUCCUCUUAUAUGGUUAGAGUUACUAUACUCUCAUGAGUAUAGAACUCUUUGUACUCAUAAGUUUUCGAUCGUUGGAUGAAGAAAUGUACGGUUAGGAUGAUAGUGGUCCCCGAUUAGUUUAAUAGUGGUCUAUUAGGGUUAAGUGGGUGGUUAGGUGAAUAAUAUGAUAGUGAGCUCGAAUAUAAUUUUUUUUUUUGAAAAAAUAAAAAAAACUGCAGAAGUAGCAGUACGGCAGAGUUAUUAAAAUUGAAACCACACAAAAAUUAGGAUUAGUUUUAUACAGGUCUCUAUAAAUAUAACAAAUGGCAAAUAUAUAUGUUAUCCCUGUAAAAGUCCUAAUGUCAUCAAAUAUGUCCCCACCGUUAAAAUCCGUUAGAAAAAUUUAAUUAACCAUAGAUUAAAUACUUAAAACCUUGGUUAGCUUUUGAUAUUGUUAUCCUCUUAUAUGGUUAGAGUUACUAUACUCUCAUGAGUAUAGAACUCUUUGUACUCAUAAGUUUUCGAUCGUUGGAUGAAGAAAUGUACGGUUAGGAUGAUAGUGGUCCCCGAUUAGUUUAAUAGUGGUCUAUUAGGGUUAAGUGGGUGGUUAGGUGAAUAAUAUGAUAGUGAG
rnacentral:lncRNA from 1 species